GACAGAGGGGGCAAGCGUUGCUCGGAAUUACUGGGCGUAAAGGGCGCGUAGGCGGGAUGGCAAGUCGGUCGUGAAAUCCCUCGGCUCAACCGAGGAACGUCGAUCGAUACUGCUGUUCUUGAGGAUUGCAGAGGAGACUGGAAUUCCCGGUGUAGCGGUGAAAUGUGUAGAGAUCGGGAGGAACACCGGUGGCGAAGGCGGGUCUCUGGGCAAUUCCUGACACUGAGACACGAAGGCCAGGGGAGCAAACGGG
rnacentral:rRNA from 1 species